rnacentral:rRNA from 1 species
CUUUACUGACGCUAAAGCUCGAAGGUGCGGGUAUCGAACAGGAUUAGAUACCCUGGUAGUCCGCACGGUAAACGAUGGAUGCCCGCUGUUUGCGAUAUACUGUGAGCGGCCAAGAGAAAUCGUUAAGCAUCCCACCUGGGGAGUACGCCGGGCAACGGUGAAACUCAAAGGAAUUGACGGGGGCCCGCACAAGCGGAGGAACAUGUGGUUUAAUUCGAUGAUACGCGAGGAACCUUACCCGGGCUUGAACUGCCAGCGAACGAUUCAGAGAUGAUGAGGCCCUUCGGGGCGCUGGUGGAGGUGCUGCAUGGUUGUCGUCAGCUCGUGCCGUGAGGUGUCGGCUUAAGUGCCAUAACGAGCGCAACCCUUUUCUUUAGUUGCCAUCAGGUAAUGCUGGGCACUCUGGAGAUACUGCCACCGUAAGGUGUGAGGAAGGUGGGGAUGACGUCAAAUCAGCACGGCCCUUACGUCCGGGGCUACACACGUGUUACAAUGGGGGGUACAGAGAGUCGGAUAUACGCAAGUAUGUUCUAAUCCUUAAAGCCUUCCUCAGUUCGGAUUGGGGUCUGCAACCCGACCCCAUGAAGCUGGAUUCGCUAGUAAUCGCGCAUCAGCCAUGGCGCGGUGAAUACGUUCCCGGGCCUUGUACACACCGCCCGUCAAGCCAUGAAAGCCGGGGGCGCUUGAAGUCCGUGACCGCAAGGAUCGGCCUAGAGCGAAACUGGUAAUUGGGGCUAAGUCGUAACAAGGUAGCCGUA